GACGAACGUUGGCGGCGUGCUUAAUACAUGCAAGUCGACUGAAGAAGCGGUAGCAUUACCGCUGUGGAGGUGGCGCCCGGGUGAGUAAUACGUAGGUAAUCUGCCUUCAGGUCUGGCAUAACAACGUGAAACCGGGGCUAAUAGCAGAUGAUGCAGCGGCUCGCCAUAGAGAUCGUUGUUAAAGCUAUGGUGUCUGAAGAUGCGCCUGCGUCUAGUUAGCUAGUUGGCGGGGUAACAGCCCAACAAGGCAACGAUCAGUAGCUGGUGUGAGAGGCUGAUCAGCAACAGAGAAACGGAGACACGGUCCAGGCGCGUACGCGAGGGAGCAGUAAGGAAUAUGGCUGAAAGGGAGAAAGCGUGAAGCAGCGACGCCGCUGGAGGGACGAAGAGCGUUUGCUUGUAAACCUCUGUAGUAAGAGAUAUAAAUCCCAAUCUUCGGGACAUGAUGGUAUCUCAAAAGUAAGCCCCGGCUAACUACGUG
rnacentral:rRNA from 1 species